rnacentral:rRNA from 1 species
AACGAACGUUAGCGGCGCGCCUAACACAUGCAAGUCGAACGCGACAGGGGCAACUCUGUUGAGUGGCGCACGGGUGAGUAACACGUAGGUAAUCUCCCCCGAGUGGUGGAUAACCUUCCGAAAGGAGGGCUAAUACAGCAUAAGACCACGGCUUCGAAAGGAGCUGAGGUAAAAGCGGAGGAUCGCAAGACUUCGCGCUUGGGGAUGAGCCUGCGGCCCAUCAGGUAGUUGGCGGGGUAACAGCCCACCAAGCCUAAGACGGGUAGCUGGUCUGAGAGGAUGAUCAGCCACACUGGAACUGAGACACGGUCCAGACUCCUACGGGAGGCAGCAGUGGGGAAUCUUGCGCAAUGGACGAAAGUCUGACGCAGCGACGCCGCGUGGGUGAUGAAGGCCUUCGGGUUGUAAAGCCCUGUGGGGAGGGACGAAUAAGUUUCAGCUAAUACCUGAAGCGAUGACGGUACCUCCUUAGCAAGCACCGGCUAACUCUGUGCCAGCCGCCGCAGUAA